AACGUAGGGGACAAGCGUUAUCCGGAUUUACUGGGCGUAAAGCGCCCGUAGGCGGCCUGACAAGUUGGACGUGAAAGCUCCUGGCUUAACUGGGAGAGGCCGUUCAAAACUGUCAAGCUAGAGUCUGGAAGAGGAGAGCGGAAUUCCCGGUGUAGUGGUGGAAUGCGUAGAGAUCGGGAGGAACACCAGUGGCGAAAGCGGCUCUCUGGGCCAAAACUGACGCUGAGGGGCGAAAGCGUGGGGAUCGAACGGG
rnacentral:rRNA from 1 species